GGAUUUUCCGCCAAAACCGCAAA
rnacentral:snRNA from 1 species